rnacentral:lncRNA from 1 species
GGUACGUGAACCUCCUGAACUGACGGCUUAUCAUCCGGUAACCUUCCUCCACUGACUUGGUUGUAUCUCGGCCCCGGAAAAUGCACCACCAGCCUGCGAAGAUGAAGAGAAACUCUGCUGCUCCCAGUGAUGCAGCAAAUCCGUAGAGGUAGACCCACUUGGUGUUGCUUCUGUUGUUCCCGUACCUAAGCGAAGAGCUCGUUGUGACAGUGGAACCAUCGGAAUUGCAGGUGACCACAGAUUGAUUGGAGCUCGAGGAGGACACUACGCUUAUAGGCACUUUGAGAAAGAUACUACCUGGAAAAUUCGGAGACUUGUAGCCAUUGAACAGCGAACUCUUCGGGAAACACAACCCAUUGCCCGCCAGUCGGUAGCCAAAAG